rnacentral:rRNA from 1 species
UCUAGCAUGUGCGCGAGUCAUUGGGACUUUUUUUUUUGAAAGCCCAGAGGCGCAAUGAAAGUGAAGAUCGGCCUUUUCGGCUUGAUCGAGGGAGGAUGGCUCAUUGUUAUUUUUUAUAAUAACGAGCUCGCACUCCCGGGGCGUCUCGCGCUCAUUUCGAGCGGAGGCGCACCCAGAGCGUACACGCUGGGACCCGAAAGAUGGUGAACUA